GACGUAGGGUGCGAGCGUUGUCCGGAUUUAUUGGGCGUAAAGAGCUCGUAGGCGGCUCGUCGCGUCGGCUGUGAAAACCCGCGGCUUAACCGUGGGCUUGCAGCUGAUACGGGCGGGCUAGAGUUCGGUAGGGGAGACUGGAAUUCCUGGUGUAGCGGUGAAAUGCGCAGAUAUCAGGAGGAACACCGGUGGCGAAGGCGGGUCUCUGGGCCGAUACUGACGCUGAGGAGCGAAAGCGUGGGGAGCGAACAGG
rnacentral:rRNA from 1 species